GGUUAAGCGACUAAGCGUACACGGUGGAUGCCCUGGCAGUCAGAGGCGAUGAAGGACGUGCUAAUCUGCGAUAAGCGCCGGUAAGGUGAUAUGAACCGUUAUAACCGGCGAUUUCCGAAUGGGGAAACCCAGUGUGAUUCGUCACACUAUCAUUAACUGAAUCCAUAGGUUAAUGAGGCGAACCGGGGGAACUGAAACAUCUAAGUACCCCGAGGAAAAGAAAUCAACCGAGAUUCCCCCAGUAGCGGCGAGCGAACGGGGAGGAGCCCAGAGCCUGAAUCAGCAUGUGUGUUAGUGGAAGCGUCUGGAAAGGCGCGCGAUACAGGGUGACAGCCCCGUACACAAAAGCGCAUGUGCUGUGAGCUCGAUGAGUAGGGCGGGACACGUGGUAUCCUGUCUGAAUAUGGGGGGACCAUCCUCCAAGGCUAAAUACUCCUGACUGACCGAUAGUGAACCAGUACCGUGAGGGAAAGGCGAAAAGAACCCCGGCGAGGGGAGUGAAAAAGAACCUGAAACCGUGUACGUACAAGCAGUGGGAGCACAGGUUUACCUGUGUGACUGCGUACCUUUUGUAUAAUGGGUCAGCGACUUAUAUUCUGUAGCAAGGUUAACCGUAUAGGGGAGCCGGAGGGAAACCGAGUCUUAACCGGGCGUUAAGUUGCAGGGUAUAGACCCGAAACCCGGUGAUCUAGCCAUGGGCAGGUUGAAGGUUGGGUAACACUAACUGGAGGACCGAACCGACUAAUGUUGAAAAAUUAGCGGAUGACCUGUGGCUGGGGGUGAAAGGCCAAUCAAACCGGGAGAUAGCUGGUUCUCCCCGAAAGCUAUUUAGGUAGCGCCUCGUGAAUUCAUCUCCGGGGGUAGAGCACUGUUUCGGCUAGGGGGCCAUCCCGGCUUACCAACCCGAUGCAAACUGCGAAUACCGGAGAAUGUUAUCACGGGAGACACACGGCGGGUGCUAACGUCCGUCGUGAAGAGGGAAACAACCCAGACCGCCAGCUAAGGUCCCAAAGUCAUGGUUAAGUGGGAAACGAUGUGGGAAGGCCCAGACAGCCAGGAUGUUGGCUUAGAAGCAGCCAUCAUUUAAAGAAAGCGUAAUAGCUCACUGGUCGAGUCGGCCUGCGCGGAAGAUGUAACGGGGCUAAACCAUGCACCGAAGCUGCGGCAGCGAACGUAUCACCCAAGACAACUUUACGGAGUUGACGAUUGACGGAGCGAAGCGACGUCAAAGCGUUCAUUAAAGUCGAGUUGGCUUAGGGAUACGUUCGUUGGGUAGGGGAGCGUUCUGUAAGCCUGUGAAGGUGUGUCGUGAGGCAUGCUGGAGGUAUCA
rnacentral:rRNA from 1 species